UGAGGAAUAUUGGUCAAUGGGCGAGAGCCUGAACCAGCCAUGUCGCGUGCAGGACUACGGCCCUACGGGUCUUAAACUGCUUUUGCCGGGGGAUAAAGUCGGGGGUUCGCCCCCCGUUCGCAGGUACCCGGCGAAUAAGGAUCGGCUAACUCCGUGCCAGCAGCCGCGGUAAUACGGAGGAUCCGAGCGUUAUCCGGAUUUAUUGGGUGUAAAGGGUGCGUAGGCGGCCUGUCAAGUCGGCGGUGAAACCCCCGGGCUCAACCCGGUGACUGCCGUCGGAACUGGCGGGGUUGGGUACGGUGAGGGUGCGCGGAAUGUGUGGUGUAGCGGUGAAAUGCUUAGAUAUCACACAGGACACGGGUCGCGAAGGCAACGCACUACGCCGUAACUGACG
rnacentral:rRNA from 1 species